ACGGAGCACGUGAAAUUCCGUCGGAAUCUGGGAGGACCAUCUCCUAAGGCUAAAUACUCUCUAGUGACCGAUAGUGAACCAGUACCGUGAGGGAAAGGUGAAAAGCACCCCGGAAGGGGAGUGAAAUAGAACCUGAAACCGUGUGCUUACAAGUAGUCAGAGCCCGUUAAUGGGUGAUGGCGUGCCUUUUGUAGAAUGAACCGGCGAGUUACGAUUUGAUGCAAGGUUAAGCAGUAA
rnacentral:rRNA from 1 species